GACAACGUUAGCAGUACUGACUGGCUGUAUGGGACACCAUUAGCAGAAUUUGCUGGCUGUAUGGGACAAUGUGAGCAGUAUUGGCUGGCUGUAUGGGACAACGUUAGCAGAAUUGGCUGGCUGUAUGGGACAACGUGAGCAGAAUUGGCUGACUGUAUGUAUGGGACGUGAGCAGAAUUGGCUGGCUGUAUGUAUGGGACAACGUUAGCAGAAUUGGCUGGCUGUAUGUAUGGGAAAACGUGAGCAGUAUCAGCUG